UGGGGAAUAUUGGACAAUGGGCGAAAGCCUGAUCCAGCCAUGCCGCGUGAGUGAUGAAGGCCUUAGGGUUGUAAAACUCUUUCGCCGGGGAAGAUAAUGACGGUACCCGGAGAAGAAGCUCCGGCUAACUUCGUGCCAGCAGCCGCGGUAAUACGAAGGGAGCUAGCGUUGUUCGGAAUUACUGGGCGUAAAGCGCACGUAGGCGGGCUAUUAAGUCAGGGGUGAAAUCCCGAGGCUCAACCUCGGAACUGCCUUUGAUACUGAUAGUCUUGAGAUCGGGAGAGGUGAGUGGAAUUCCUAGUGUAGAGGUGAAAUUCGUAGAUAUUAGGAAGAACACCAGUGGCGAAGGCGGCUCACUGGCCCGAUACUGACGCUGAGGUGCGAAAGCGUGGGGAGCAAACAGGAUUAGAUACCCCAGUAGUCCCUGAGCGGGCUGGCAAGGCGCAU
rnacentral:rRNA from 1 species